GAAGAAUCCCAUGAUUAUGAGAAACUCAUGUGAUUGAUUAGCAAUAGUCUAUAAGUUGAUUGAUUCUUGUAUAAAUGAGUGAUUUAUGAUUUGUUGAUUGUUUGCCAUAUAAAUCUUGUAUCUUUCAUUAUAAAUUUGGAUUUGUGUAUUAUGUUACACACACAAACACACAAGUGAAUGAAAUGUAGUCCUUUUAAGGUUUUACAUCCAUGGAUAUAGGCUCCCUGUAGUCGAACCACAUAAAUCAUUCUGUUG
rnacentral:misc_RNA from 1 species